GACGAACGCUGGCGGCGUGCUUAACACAUGCAAGUCGAACGGAAAGGCCCUGCUUUUGUGGGGUGCUCGAGUGGCGAACGGGUGAGUAACCCGUGAGUAACCUGCCCUUGACUUUGGGAUAACUUCAGGAAACUGGGGCUAAUCCCGGAUAGGAGCUCCUGCUGCAUGGUGGGGGUUGGUAAGUUUCGGCGGUUGGGGAUGGACUCGCGGCUUAUCAGCUUGUUGGUGGGGUAGUGGCUUACCAAGGCAUUGACGGGUAGCCGGCCUGAGAGGGGGACCGGCCACAUUGGGACUGGGAUGCGGCCCAGACUCCUACGGGAGGCAGCAGUGGGGAAGAGUGCACAAUGGGCGGAAGCCUGAUGCAGCCACGCCGCGUGCGGGAUGACGGCCUUCGGGUUGUAAAGCGCUUUCGCCUGUGACGAAGCGUGAGUGACGGUAAUGGGUAAAGAAGCACCGGCUAACUACGUG
rnacentral:rRNA from 1 species